AAAAACAGAGGGAAAGAGCGAAAAGACAAGAAGGGCGCAAACUGUGACAGACUCACCGCUUCACUAACUACUCACUUAAACUGGAAGCAAAAUGUCCCUAAAAUUGCCAAGGAACUGGGAUUUCAACCUGAAAGUGGAGGCUGCGAAAAUAGUAAAUGCUAAAGGGAGUCCUUCCUGCAGGUUGAUAUAAAAGGACACUAAACAAUAACUUGAUGCCAUAUGAAGAAAAAAAGAUCUCAGCGAAGAUACUGACGCCCACGCAGGAAAAAGGAAGCACCUUUUGUCAGAUGCUGUGGCCACUUCCUCUUCAGAAGGCUCCAGCCAACCUUUCGGUUUGCAGAAUGACGGGGCCCGCCGCGGUGCCGGACUGCCUGUGCACGGGGCCACCGACUGCAGCCUGGGUUUUAUUCUUGGCCUGGCCCUGACCGGGAGCUGGCCCCUCGGCUGCUUCUCUGGCUCGGGGGGGACUUUCUCUGGCUCAGAUCCGGACCCCUGAACUGGACCUGGUUGUCGUCCCCCCGCUUCUCAGCCCCCUCUG
rnacentral:sRNA from 1 species